CAUGGCAAGUGGCAACAUUGUUGCGGGUUGCCUAGUAACUGCUUCAAAGGUGACCUUGAGAUUUGGGGUGAAAGUUGUAAAGUGUGAGUCAGAGUUUGUCCUACACAGUUGCUUUUGGAAGUGUUUUUAUUUUUGUUCGGCGAGCUGUAUUUUUAUAGACAUUCUGCCUGGUUGGUACAUCAAUUUAGUGACAUUUGUGAUUCGGGAAGAGUAUGGGAUUCACAUAGUAAUUUCUUGAUGAGAGAUUCUUUGUAUUUAAACUUCAACCCCUUAAAGUUGUUACACUAAUAGUUAUGUUGUACUGAUGAAUUGUAAAUAUACAUAAAUAAAAAACUUGACCAUCAAUGA